AACUAGGUUAUUGCAAAAAUAAAAUAAGCAUCAAAUAUAUGUACAUAAAUAUAUACAGCAUGAAUUAAAUAAGAUUAUGUUCUAACCAUCACAAGACAUGUUUAGUGAAAUAAACAAAGUUGAAGAACUAUAAUGCUAUCAAUAACUGAUUUCCUCUGAAAACGAAAGUUUUGAUAGUAAUGAGAUCACCAUGAGCAAUCUAGAGAUGAA